UACGUAGGGGGCUAGCGUUGUCCGGAAUCAUUGGGCGUAAAGCGCGCGUAGGCGGCCAGAUAAGUCCGGUGUGAAAGUCACAGGCUCAACCUGUGAAUGCCGCUGGAAACUGUCUGGCUAGAGUCCGGAAGGGGCGAGUGGAAUUCCUGGUGUAGCGGUGAAAUGCGCAGAUAUCAGGAGGAACACCAAUAGCGAAGGCAGCUCGCUGGGACGGUAUUGACGCUAAGGCGCGAAAGCGUGGGGAGCAAACAGG
rnacentral:rRNA from 1 species